GGCGAGUGAAGCGGGAUCAGCCCAGCACCGAAUCCCCCAGCAUCUCGCUGGCGGGAACUGUGGUGUAUGGGACGCCAACUGUCGAAUGCGCCGGUGUCCGAAGUCCUCCUGAUCGGGGCCUCUCCCAGAGCGGGUGUCAGGCCUUUACUGGCCGCUGGCGCGUCGGCUGCGAGCGUCUCCGGAGUCGGGUUGUUUGGGAAUGCACCCAAAGCGGGUGGUAAACUCCAUCUAAGGCUAAAUACUGGCACGAGUCCGAUAGCGGACAAGUACCGUGAGGGAAAGUUGAAAAGAACUUUGAAGAGAGAGUUCAACAGUACGUGAAACCGCCUAGAGGUAAACGGGUGGAUCCGCAAAGUCGGCCCGCGGAAUUCAGCUCGGAUGGCGCGCGGCCGCGGCCGGGUCUGGGAUCGCAAGACCCUCCCGGCUGCGGCGCGAGCGUCGGCCGUGUGCACUUUCCGCGGGCAGAGCGCCACGACCGGUUCUCGGGCGGUCAGAAGGCGGCGGGGAUGGUAGGUGCGCGCUCCGGCGCGCACUGGUAUAGCCCCGCCUGUCCCGAUCCGCUCGGGGACCGAGGAGCCGCCGCCGGCGUGGGCCGCCUCGCCCUCCUGGGAGGUUCGACUGGCAGAGACUGGGCAACCGUGUCUGCCGACCGCUUCCUCGGACGGUCUGGGGUGGGCCCGCCGGCACAGGGUCGGUGGCGAAUCGGUCGGCCCUCCACCCGACC
rnacentral:rRNA from 1 species